rnacentral:sRNA from 1 species
UGGUAAAAUUGUGUUGUCGUUAUUUUUUUUUCUCACAUUUGAUAUUAUUUUUAACAUGAAUGGUGCAUAUUUUCACCAAAGAAAAAAAAUAUUACUACGUGCAAAAUUUUAUUCAUUAAUGUUCUUUCAUACAUUUAAACAUUUUUGUUUGUGAUGGGGUUUUUUGCCUUUGUUGGUUGUUAAAGCUUACCUGGGCUAGUUGCCUACGAUGACAUCUGUUCAAAUUAUGUCAGUCAUUACAUUCAAAAGUAUGUAGCUAUACUAAUUGCGAUAGUAUUUUUUGAGCUUUUAUUCUCAAUUUAUAUUUUUUUUCCCAAGAUUAUUGAAAUCGAAAUAUGUCAUGGUUGACUUCAAAUUAUGAGCAGAACUUAAAUGAAUAUCCUUCUGGUGAGCUUUGUGAUCAUUGGCUUAUAUUUUUGAAUUACUAUAGAUCUGAAGAGAGUUAUCAGAGAGAAAGUGAUAAAUUUUUUGUUUGUUAAAGCUAAUUUUUUUCUCUAUGUUUAUCCAUUGUAAUAUUUUUUGCGCACAUUUGGGCAUCAUGUGGAAGAUAUGCCAAUUUGCAUAAUUAUAGUAUAUUUUUAUUUAGCUAUUAUUAUUUUAUUUGAUCUGAAACAUAUGCUGUUGUUCCCUUUACUUGCUUUUACAUUUUACUUCUGAGAGUGAAGUCUUUUUGUGUAAUCUCUUUUCUUUUUUUUUUUUUAGCAUGCACUGUAUUAGGCCAUGACAUUUAGCUUGGAAUUCUCUCUUAUUUAGUAUUCUGCUAAGAUACCUGUGUAUGAAGAAUAAUUUUGGACUUAAACACUAACUGUUAUAAAGUUCUUCAAAACUGUGUAACUGCUUCUUUGUGAUUUUGUAAAUACAAACAGCAUACUUUUAUGUUAGCAAAAAAAGAAAUUAAAUGCUUAUAGUGCCU